AGAGUUUGAUCCUGGCUCAGAACGAACGCUGGCGGCAGGCUUAACACAUGCAAGUCGAGCGCACUCUUCGGAGUGAGCGACGGACGGGUUAGUAACGCGUGGGAACGUGCCCUUCUCUAAGGAAUAGCCACUGGAAACGGUGAGUAAUACCUUAUACGCCCUUCGGGGGAAAGAUUUAUCGGUGAAGGAUCGGCCCGCGUUAGAUUAGGUAGUUGGUGGGGUAAUGGCCUACCAAGCCUACGAUCUAUAGCUGGUUUUAGAGGAUGAUCAGCAACACUGGGACUGAGACACGGCCCAGACUCCUACGGGAGGCAGCAGUGGGGAAUCUUGGACAAUGGGGGCAACCCUGAUCCAGCCAUGCCGCGUGAGUGAAGAAGGCCCUAGGGUCGUAAAGCUCUUUCGCCAGGGAUGAUAAUGACAGUACCUGGUAAAGAAACCCCGGCUAACUCCGUGCCAGCAGCCGCGGUAAUACGGAGGGGGUUAGCGUUGUUCGGAAUUACUGGGCGUAAAGCGUACGUAGGCGGAUUGGAAAGUUGGGGGUGAAAUCCCAGGGCUCAACCCUGGAACUGCCUCCAAAACUAUCAGUCUAGAGUUCGAGAGAGGUGAGUGGAAUUCCAAGUGUAGAGGUGAAAUUCGUAGAUAUUUGGAGGAACACCAGUGGCGAAGGCGGCUCACUGGCUCGAUACUGACGCUGAGGUACGAAAGUGUGGGGAGCAAACAGGAUUAGAUACCCCUGUAGUCCAUGCCGUAAACGUUGUACACUCGCUAUUGGCGGCUUCGACCCCGUCAGUGGCUAAGCUAACGCGAUAAGUGUACCGCCUGAGGACUACGGUCGCAAGACUAAAACUCAAAGGAAUUGACGGGUCCCCGCACAAGCGGUGGAGCAUGUGGCUUAAUUCGAUGCAACGCGAAGAACCUUACCAGGCCUUGACAUGUAGUGGACCGGUGCAGAGAUGCACCUUCUCUUCGGAGCCGCUUCACAGGUGCUGCAUGGCUGUCGUCAGCUCGUGUCGUGAGAUGUUCGGUUAAGUCCGUCAACGAGCGCAACCCACAUCCUUAGUUGCCGCAGGUUAAGCUGGGCACUCUAGGGAAACUGCCCGUGAUAAGCGGGAGGAAGGUGUGGAUGACGUCAAGUCCUCAUGGCCCUUACGGGUUGGGCUACACACGUGCCACAAUGGCAGUGACAAUGGGUUAAUCCCAAAAAACUGUCUCAGUUCGGAUUGGGGUCUGCAACUCGACCCCAUGAAGUCGGAAUCGCUAGUAAUCGCGUAACAGCAUGACGCGGUGAAUACGUUCCCGGGCCUUGUACACACCGCCCGU
rnacentral:rRNA from 1 species